GACGGAGGGGGCUAGCGUUGUUCGGAAUUACUGGGCGUAAAGGGCGCGUAGGCGGCCUUCUAAGUCGAACGUGAAAUCCCCGGGCUCAACCCGGGAACUGCGUCCGAUACUGGAAGGCUUGAAUCCGGGAGAGGGAUGCGGAAUUCCAGGUGUAGCGGUGAAAUGCGUAGAUAUCUGGAGGAACACCGGUGGCGAAGGCGGCAUCCUGGACCGGUAUUGACGCUGAGGCGCGAAAGCCAGGGGAGCAAACGGG
rnacentral:rRNA from 1 species